rnacentral:rRNA from 1 species
AUUGAACGCUGGCGGCAGGCCUAACACAUGCAAGUCGAACGGUAACAGGAAACAGCUUGCUGUUUCGCUGACGAGUGGCGGACGGGUGAGUAAUGUCUGGGAAACUGCCUGAUGGAGGGGGAUAACUACUGGAAACGGUAGCUAAUACCGCAUAACGUCGCAAGACCAAAGAGGGGGACCCUCGGGCCUCUUGCCAUCGGAUGUGCCCAGAUGGGAUUAGCUUGUUGGUGGGGUAACGGCUCACCAAGGCGACGAUCCCUAGCUGGUCUGAGAGGAUGACCAGCCACACUGGAACUGAGGCACGGUCCAGACUCCUACGGGAGGCAGCAGUGGGGAAUAUUGCACAAUGGGCGCAAGCCUGAUGCAGCCAUGCCGCGUGUAUGAAGAAGGCCUUCGGGUUGUAAAGUACUUUCAGCGGGGAGGAAGGGAGUAAAGUUAAUACCUUGGCUCAUUGACGUUACCCGCAGAAGAAGCACCGGCUAACUCCGUG